AUUUGAAUACUUUGACCCACAGAAAGUUGGCAUUGACUCUUUUGACUUCUCUUCCAAAGAUUAUUUAGCCAGCAGUUCAGAACUAAAGAUGGGUGACAGUGCCAAAGAAAUGAUUAGUUCGAUUUAUACAAUUAUUACCAACAGCCCUUUAGCAUCAAAUGCUAUUGUGACAUUCAUUCUUUUUGCUUUGGAGAAGAUGCUGGAAGUAGAAUUUGUGUGCCCUUGCCAUGGACUACUAUGGAAUAUUGCUUUGGCUUGUUGUUAUCUUUUUGUUCCAGCAGGGAUAUUCUUCAUUUUAAUGUAUAUUUAUUAUCUACUAAUCGCUGACGAUUCAGUGAAAACAAAAAAAAAAUGCUGCUGUUGCAAUUGCAAUUGGUGUGGUUGCAAAUUUUGCAUACACAGCUUAGUUCCUCCUCUAGUGUGGAUAAUCAUCGUGUUACUUGAUGGAAAAUACAUAUCUUGUGCAUUCACAUACUGGUCAGGCAAUUAUGAAGUGAUGGAUGGUGGUGGACUGAUUAAAUGGUGCAAACCAAAUGACGACUCAUCUGAAAAUACACGCUUUAUUCAGAAAUUGUACACAAUCUCUCAGUGGACUGGAUUUGCUUUCUGCAUUUUUCCUGCUGGGAUCUUAUGCUUCACCUACUGCUGCACUUGUCAAAACCAACAGGAAUCAGGAACAACAGAAUCAGGACCAACAGAAUCAGGAGCAACAGAAUCAGGAACAACAGAAUCAGGACCAACAGAAUCAGGAACAACAGAAUCAGGACCAACAGAAUCAGGAGCAACAGAAUCAGGACCAACAGAAUCAGGACCAACAGAAUCAGGAACAACAGAAUCAGGAACAACAGAAUCAGGACCAACAGAAUCAGGAGCAACAGAAUCAGGAACAACAGAAUCAGGACCAACAGAAUCAGGAACAACAGAAUCAGGAACAACAGAAUCAGGACCAACAGAAUCAGGAGCAACAGAAUCAGGACCAACAGAAUCAGGACCAACAGAAUCAGGACCAACAGAAUCAGGAGCAACAGAAUCAGGAGCAACAGAAUCAGGAACAACAGAAGAGGUAACACCAGAAUUAAGAUCAAAUGAAUCAGGAACAACAAAUCAGGAACAUCAGAAUCAGGAGCAAAAGGAGCAAAAGAGUCCAGAUAAAGAUCAACAGAUUCAGAUAACAACAGUAUCAGGAGCAACAGAACCUAAAACAAAAUCAGGAGCAACAGAAUCAAAAACAAAAGUAGCAGGAGCAGCAGGAUCUGGAAAAGGAGAAUCAGGAGCAAAAUAAUCAGGAGCAAGAGAAUCAGGAACAACAGUUAGGGACAACAGAAUUGGGAACAACAGAAACAGCAACAUCAGAAUCAGGGAAAACAGAAUUUAAAACUACAGAAUCAAAAACAUCAGAAUCAGGAACAACAGAAUUGAGAACAGCAAAAUUGGAAGGAAACAGAAAUCAGGGUUAACAGAAUAAGCAAGAACAGAAUCUGACACAACAAAUCAGGAAAAAUAGAAUCACGAAAAGCAGGACCCAUUAAAACAAAAUCAGGAGCAAAAGGACCCGGGACAAAAAAUCAGGGACAACAUAAUCAGGAACAACAAAAUCAGGAGCAGCAGAACCAGGAAAAAAGAAUCGGGAGCAAAAUAACCUGAAACAAAAGAAUCAGAAGCAACAGAAUAAGAAAAACUGGAUCAGGAAAAUCUGAAACAGGAGCAACAGAACCAGCAACAACAGGACCAGGAGUGACAGAAUCAGGCAGAUCAGUAUCAGGAGCGACAAAACCUAAAACAACAUGAUAAGGACCAACAGAACCAGGAGCAACAGGAUUAGAAACAACAGGAUCAGGAACAACAGAAUUAGGAGAAACAGAAUCAGGAGUGACAGAAUCAAAAUUAACAGGAUUAAGAGUAACAGAAUCUGUAACAACAAAUUCGAGAGCAACGGUAUUAGUACCAACAGGACCAGGAGCAAAAGAAUCAGAAAAAAAUGGGACCAGGUGCAACAGGAUCAGAAGCAGCAGGAUCAGGAGAAUGUGGAUAUGGAGCAAACAAUCUCCCCAUGUCACCCUCUAAAGAAAAUGUUGAAUUUAAAAAAUGACUCAUGGAUGAACUUACAUUGCAUUUAGUUGUUGUUUAGACAAAAUAUGAUACAAGAAUAUGUUACGCCUCCUAAAGAUGUAUAUAGGAAGUGGGAGAGGGUGCAAGUUUGAUGUUCAAACCAUGUAAUUCUUUUUUUAUAUUUUAAUCCAUUAUUGCUUGGUUUAAAUUUUCUUAUGUUAGAUCUUUCUUUAAAAAAAACUGUGAAAAUUUCCUUCUGCAAAAGGAGAGGAUUCACAUUUUACCUGUAACUUGCUAAUGAUGUUAAAUAAACAAGAUCAUAACCAAAUAGUUUUUUUUUUCUGUAAUUCAUUUCAACAUAGGCUAAUUUCUUUAAAAUGUAUCUUAUGAUGAUGCAGAUAAUUACAAUUUAGAGCUCAUAAUAUUAAAAAUGUUGUCUAUUUAAAAUAAUUACAUCAUGAGAGGAUCAAUACACUGGAGAUUUUCCAAUGUUGCAGAUUUAAUAACAAACAAACUCAAAUGUUUCCUGAGACUUCAAAUGUUGUCAGUCUAACUGUAGACUGCAGUUCACUAACAUCUGCAAAUGAG
rnacentral:lncRNA from 1 species